rnacentral:rRNA from 1 species
CAGUCGCCGCGGUAAAACGUAGGGUGCGAGCGUUAAUCGGAAUUACUGGGCGUAAAGGGAGCGUAGGCGGACUGUUUAGUCAGAGGUGAAAGCCCAGGGCUCAACCUUGGAAUUGCCUUUGAUACUGGCAGUCUUGAGUACGGAAGAGGUAUGUGGAACUCCGAGUGUAGAGGUGAAAUUCGUAGAUAUUCGGAAGAACACCAGUGGCGAAGGCGACAUACUGGUCCGUUACUGACGCUGAGGCUCGAAAGCGUGGGGAGCAAACCGGAUUAGAUACCCCCGUAGUCCCUGUCUCUUAUAC